AGCAGUAGGGAAUCUUCCACAAUGGACGCAAGUCUGAUGGAGCAACGCCGCGUGAGUGAAGAAGGUUUUCGGAUCGUAAAGCUCUGUUGUUGGUGAAGAAGGAUAGAGGCAGUAACUGGUCUUUAUUUGACGGUAAUCAACCAGAAAGUCACGGCUAACUACGUGCCAGCAGCCGCGGUAAUACGUAGGUGGCAAGCGUUGUCCGGAUUUAUUGGGCGUAAAGCGAGCGCAGGCGGAAUGAUAAGUCUGAUGUGAAAGCCCACGGCUCAACCGUGGAACUGCAUCGGAAACUGUCAUUCUUGAGGCA
rnacentral:rRNA from 1 species